AUAACACUCACACUUGGAUCUAUUCGGUUGGUGGUGAACGGGACACGAAGUAUCACGAACGUGGAGAGCUGAACUGACACAGCAGGGAACCAAGUGUACCCAGUAACCACGUAAUUACAGAGAACCUAAGACAGGAACACCAGCCGGCCAUGCCAGACCUGACCACAGCUGAUGAAAACAUACCCGGAGAAAACGCAAAGGCAGAAGACCCCGAGAGCAUGGCAGAAGACACUGAGAGCGUGUUGGAAAACCAUGAAUAGCCUGCUAAGGUGUGAUGAUGAUGGUACUCUGUAAAGAAGGCUGGUUGCUGAAGGUAGAUGAUUAAUUUUAUAGCAUAGUAUAGAAAAUUAUUGGGAAAUAGACGGGGAGGGAUUCUUGAGUUAAAGCAGAGAUGGCAAGUUCCAUCACUUCGACGGCAUUUCAGACUGCACUCGACAUUUGAAAGCAGUCACCCUAGUCUGAGGAGCUGGGCCCUUAUCAGCAGUUGGGCCAGUGAUCAACCGGACGGUUCGGAAGGAGGUGCCACCGGGGGGAGGUCCUUACAGACUUUUACAUAGAGGCCACCCCAACCCUUCCUGUACAUCGAUGAGGGAGCCUGUGGGUGCUCCUGGAAGGAGAGUUUCAGCGACCAGAGGACGAAGGGCUGAAGACAAAGGAAUGUGAUUAAGCUGCAGUCAGCCUGCAGGGAAACAGCCGACAGGCACACGAAAGGAGCCGCAUUUCCAAAGACUUGGAACAGCCUCUCUGCUUAACAUUUGGUAGGUAGCGAUUAGGCAAUGCUAGGAUAGAUAGAGGUACAUAAAAUUGGGGGGUGAAUUUCGAGACAGGGCAUACUUGUGGCCCUAUUUGAGCAGAUCCUCCUAGGUUGGCCUUUCCUGAUACAAAUUUAAUUUUUGUCCAGGAGGGCCAAGAGGAGGGACUGUUAGCGUUUUUUUUUGGGGUAGAUGAUUUGUU